rnacentral:rRNA from 1 species
GGAGGUAGUGACAAUAAAUCUCAAUACGAAGCCUUUGGUUUUGUAAUUGAAUUGAGAACAAUGUACAAUCGUUAUCGAUAAACAAUUGGAGGGCAAGUCUGGUGCCAGCAGCCGCGGUAAUUCCAGCUCCAAUAGCGUAUAUUAACGUUGUUGCAGUUAAAAAGCUCGUAGUUGAAGUUAAGAUGAUUUGUUGAGAGUGUUAGUAUUCGUACUAUCUGCCCUCAAUAGAUUAUCGACUUCCAGGUAAGCUCAAUAAUCCCUCCGGGGACUAUCGAGCCAGACUGGUCUUUUACUGUGAGAAAAUUAGAGUGUUUAAAGCAGACUUUUUUAGUUUGAAUAGAUUAGCAUGGAAUAAUAAGAUUGGCUUUCAUAGUCGAUUUUUUGGUUUGUUUAUGAAAGCAAGAUUAAUAGGGACAGUUGGGGGUAUUCAUAUUCAAUAGCUAGAGGUGAAAUUCUAUGAUUUAUGGAAGAUGAACAAGUGCGAAAGCA